CCCAAGAGAUCGGGAUAACACCUGGAAACAAGAUGCUAAUACCGGAUAACAACAGAUGAUGCCUAUCAACUGUUUAAAAGAUGGUUCUGCUAUCACUCUUGGAUGGACCUGCGGUGCAUUAGCUAGUUGGUAGGGUAACGGCCUACCAAGGCGAUGAUGCAUAGCCGAGUUGAGAGACUGAUCGGCCACAUUGGGACUGAGACACGGCCCAAACUCCUACGGGAGGCAGCAGGG
rnacentral:rRNA from 1 species